rnacentral:rRNA from 1 species
GAUGAACGCUGGCGGCGUGCCUAAUACAUGCAAGUCGAGCGAACAGAUGAGGAGCUUGCUCCUCUGACGUUAGCGGCGGACGGGUGAGUAACACGUGGAUAACCUACCUAUAAGACUGGGAUAACUUCGGGAAACCGGAGCUAAUACCGGAUAAUAUAUUGAACCGCAUGGUUCAAUAGUGAAAGACGGUUUUGCUGUCACUUAUAGAUGGAUCCGCGCCGCAUUAGCUAGUUGGUAAGGUAACGGCUUACCAAGGCAACGAUGCGUAGCCGACCUGAGAGGGUGAUCGGCCACACUGGAACUGAGACACGGUCCAGACUCCUACGGGAGGCAGCAGUAGGGAACCUUCCGCAAUGGGCGAAAGCCUGACGGAGCAACGCCGCGUGAGUGAUGAAGGUCUUCGGAUCGUAAAACUCUGUUAUUAGGGAAGAACAAAUGUGUAAGUAACUAUGCACGUCUUGACGGUGCCUAAUCAGAAAGCCACGGCUAACUACGUG